rnacentral:pre_miRNA from 1 species
AGCUUCCUGUAUCCGUGCUGAGAUUUCGUCACACACCAGACCACACGGGCUGAUGAGACUUCCAAGAUAAGUGAAGCG